rnacentral:tRNA from 1 species
GAAAAUGAAACUCUCGAAGCUGCUAACUUUGAGCCUUGCAAUAAUUGUAACAUUUUCU